UACGGGGGAGGCAAGCGUUGUUCGGAAUUACUGGGCGUAAAGGGUCUGUAGGUGGCUCGCUAAGUCAGACGUGAAAUCCCUCAGCUUAACUGGGGAACUGCGUCUGAGACUGGCAAGCUUGAGUGCAGGAGAGGAACGCGGAAUUCCAGGUGUAGCGGUGAAAUGCGUAGAUAUCUGGAGGAACACCGGUGGCGAAGGCGGCGUUCUGGACUGCAACUGACACUGAUAGACGAAAGCCAGGGGAGCAAACGGG
rnacentral:rRNA from 1 species